GAUGAACGCUGGCGGCGUGCCUAAUACAUGCAAGUCGAGCGAAUGGAUUAAGAGCUUGCUCUUAUGAAGUUAGCGGCGGACGGGUGAGUAACACGUGGGUAACCUGCCCAUAAGACUGGGAUAACUCCGGGAAACCGGGGCUAAUACUGGAUAACAUUUUGAACCGCAUGGUUCGAAAUUGAAAGGCGGCUUCGGCUGUCACUUAUGGAUGGAUCCGCGUCGCGUUAGCUAGCUGGUGAGGUAACGGCUCACCAAGGCAACGAUGCGUAGACGACCUGAGAGGGUGAGCGGCCAGACUGGGACUGAGACCCGGCCCAGACUCCUACGGGAGGCAGCAGUAGGGAAUCUUCCGCAAUGUACGAAAGUCUGACGGAGCAACGCCGCGUGAGUGAUGAAGGCUUUCGGGUCGUAAAACUCUGUUGUUAGGGAAGAACAAGUGCUAGUUGAAUAAGCUGACACCUUGACGGUACCUAACCAGAAAGCCACGGCUAACUACGUGCCAGCCGCCGCGGUAA
rnacentral:rRNA from 1 species